GUGAGAUUCAACUACAAAAGGUUUUGACCAUCUUAGCUACAAUUGAUUUGUCAAGCAACAAACUUGAAGGGGAGAUUCCAAUGCUCACUGAAAACAUGAAUGCACUAAUACUUCUCAACUUAUCACAUAACUGCCUCAAUGGAAGUAUUCCACACCAAAUAGGGAACUUGAAAUCGCUUGAAUCAUUGGACAUCUCUUGGAAUCAGUUGGUAGGGAAGAUCCCUGAGCAAAUUACAAAUUUGAAAUUUCUUGAGGUGUUAAACUUGUCACAAAAUCAUUUGGUUGGACGCAUUCCUACAGGUUACCAAUUAAACACCUUUGGAAAUGACUCAUAUGGGGGAAACCUCAACUUAUGUGGAUUUCCGUUGUCAAGAGAAUGCAAUGACAACAAUGGGUCACAUGAACACCAACAACAACAUGUUGAGUUGGAAGAUAAAUCAGAUUUCAUGAGUGGAUUUACUUGGAAAGUGGUAGUGAUUGGAUUUGGUUGUGGAGUGGUAUUUGGGAUCUUCAUGGAAAAUAUCAUGGCUCGGACUGGAAAGCCAAAAUGGAUGUUUGUGACUUUCUAUGGGAAUAAGAUACACAAAAUUGUCCCAAGACAAAGAAGGAAUGUUUGAAGACAAUGCUAAUGUUAAAGGGAUGAAUUUGUUGAUUAUUUAUAAAAUCAUCAUGAAUAAUGUGAGGGCAAAUUCUGCAGCUGUAGAAUUAACUACCACUGAUUUUGUUAGUAAGAGUGUGGCUAUUGAGUCAGAAUGAAUUGGUGGCAUGGCAAAGGGUUCUGGAAUGAUCCAUCCUAACAUGGCGACAAUGCUUGGUUGUUAUUACUGAAGCCUCAAUUACAGGUGAUGUUUGGAGACGAAUGAUUUUAACUAAAUUACUGUACGUAACAGCGUUGCCUUAUCUACUUUAACUUGGCAAAGGUAUAAUACCACUAGGAAUGUCUUCGGUGCUCAUUUACGGCCGAGUUAAUAGGCUUAUUUAAACUGUAAGGUUAAUUUUUAAUCAUCUUCAUGUCUACAAUUUUCUAGCGAUAAAGGUACUCCGUAUUUGUUUUGAUCCAAUUUUAUCUUGUUUUACCUAUGUCUUAUUGGGAUUACUUCCAUUUAUUAACUGCGGGCAUAAAACAUUUUAAACCUCUCCAGAUACACAUCUUUCACUGGUAGAUGAUGAUAAAAUCCCUUCUUUGAAAAACAACCUACAAAGGCGUCGAUGUUGUAAUGCAGGGGCUAGCAAAAUCUAUAGUUUGGGAUGGAGAAGGAGCUAGCGACAUGCUUAAUUGAGGUCAGGGUAGGUGGAGCAGAGAAUGAAGCUGAAGCAGCAAAAAUUCCACGUUCAGUUGCAUCUUCUUCACUUACCAAGGCAUAUAUGCAACAUAUAAACUUAUGCAGUUCUACAACCACUUCUGACAUAUCCCCCACUGAUUUCCGCUCUCUAUUAUAUGCCUCCUUAGGCAGCCAUUUAUGGCAGUGAUCCAAAUUGGGGAUGCAGUGCUUGUGCUGCUGGCUAUGUGGGCAUUCUCUUCCAUUUGAUAGUGUUGCAGCCAAUAAUUAUAUGAGGAAGGCUGGGGAGACUAAUGGCACUGUUGAAGUUGACAUAUCUGAUCUAUUGGAAGUGGAGUUGCAUGGGGGUGCGACUUGAGAUUUAUAAUUAUGUGAAGAUAAACGCAGAAUACACAACAUGAAUGUAAAUAUACGACGGAGGGUGUUUGUACUUUGUAGUCCUUGCUUCCAUGGAUUUUGUGAUCUCAAAGACAGGUAGAUGGAUAUCAGUACCAAUGAUGUUGUUAUUGCUUUGGCUAAUGGGCUCUCAGGGACCAAUAAGAUCUCUUCUUUGAAUAGCUGGAGGCAAACGACCUACAGAGGUGUCUCCAUACUGCAGCUAUUUAGGAUCCAAAUUGGGGACGCAUUGCUUGUGCUGCUGGCUAUGUGCAGUGGGAAUUCCUUAAUUUCAACCCAAAUAAACUUUGAAUAUCUCUAUACUAGGAGAUAUUCUGCUUAUGGAUGGUGGGCAACCUCUUCCAUUUCAUAGUGUUGCAGCCAAUAAUUAUAUGAGGAAGGCUGGGGAGACUCAUGGCAGCGUUGAAGUUGACAUAUCGUCUAUUGGUGAUGGUCCAGGAAGUGGAGUUGCAUGGGGCUGCGACUUGAGUUAUGAUUAUGUAAAGAUAAACGCGGAGUACACAACAUGAAUGUAAAUCUACGACGAAGGUUCUCCAUCAUGACUGACCCUUGGUGCUCCAGUUCCUAGCAAUCGAUACAAACUACGCUUGUCAUAUGUGUACACGAGGUCUCGGAUCAGAUAAUUUUAAAGCCGCCUUGCAUCUUCUGUAUUCUUGGUUUCUAUACAUUAUCAUAUAUAGUUUAUCUCAUUUUCCCCCCUUCUGUUGAAUAAACUAAGAAUAAUGAAAGCUCUUCGCAAGGGUGUUUGUAGUCCUUGCUUCCAUGGAUUGAUGUAGAUUUUGUGAUCUCAAAGACAGUUUUUUCCAUGUUGUUCAUCAUUAUGUCACUGCGAUUUUUUCGUGUUGUUCAUGGUUAUAUCACUGCUCUCUUCUCUAAUUCUUAGCCACCACUUUAACCGCUCCAAAAUGAAUCCUUAGGACUUUAGAUUUAGUGAUGCACAAGUAAAGCUAUGAUAACGAGAUACACUCGUCGGGUUAGCUCGUCCUGCCUUGCCCUGCAAUAAGGACACUUAACAGUUGUAUGUGCAGGUGGGGGCCGAGAUUGUAGAAGAAGAGACAGCAGUGGCAGACAGGUGAGUUUCACAAAUCUCCAAACUGGUAUCAUCGUUUUCCUGAGUCCGAUCCCACUACCUGAAC